rnacentral:lncRNA from 1 species
CAAAGAGUGAGUGAGGAAAGUCAGACCUCAGCUUCCUGUCUAGGGAGACUAGAGCAGCCCUGUCAGAGAUGCCCUCCAGCAUAAGACCCCAGGCCUCUGAGUACUCACAAUGCCAAGGUUAAGUUAAAGCAAGCCCCAAGCCAGCACUUUGUUUUGUCUGUGUAGAAUCCCUGGGUGAUGCAUGUUAUUCUUAUACUUGCCCUGCACUGGAAGAGUACAAGCUCAGGGGCUAUAGGUGGAGAAAGGGCCCGGCCAGCCCCAGACCUGACCAGUGGGGCUCAAGACCCACAGUCUCCAUGGAGAAAUGACCACUGCACUGCUGGCUCGCCCACUGGCUCCCAGGCGGUUCAGCCAGAAAAGCACUAUCUUCCUGGGAUACCACACAUGCUACCCUGUGGCUUAUGGGCAGUGGCUCCUCGAGGGCUCCCUGUGCAGCCCAGACAGAGGCCUUCGCCUCUCUUCCCUACCCUCCCAGCCUUGCCUGCCUCAAACAUGCUCAGAGAAAGCAGCCUACAGUUCUUCAAAAUCACCUCAUAGGAAGCCUGCUAUACAACAAGGUAUGGAAUAACCUAUGUCAUUAAUUGAACACAAUACUGAAAGUGCAAAAUUUGGAUUUUGCAUGGGUACUCACCAUUAAUGCAUGGUUAGUGUAGGAGGUGUGAUCAAAAGAUAUAGUAAAUAAUUC